GCCUCUCCUCCCCUCCCCGCUCUCUUCCUCCUACCUCUCUACCUCCCACUCUACCCCGCAAACCCUAGGCCGCCAUGGAUGCUAGCUCAUCGCCGGUCAUGCCGCGAGUCUUCGUCAAGUUGCCGGGCGCUUCUCCCCCUCCUGGAUCUGCGCGCCUCGAGUUGUGGUCGUCUUCCCCGCCCCCGCCCCCACCCCCUGGCCACGCGUGCUCCCAGUUAAGGUGCGUUGGCUUGCUGGGCCGCGGCCAUCCCACCACCGGCCGCGGCGGCGGGGGGUCGGAUCCGCCGCCCCUGGGUGCGGAUUUGCGCAUCCUGGCCCUAGGUGGCUUCAUCCUCAUCGGGUUUUUUUUGGCGAGGUGUGGAAGUGCAGAUCAAGACAAGGUGUGUUCUCUUUCGUUCCCUUGUUUCCGCGCACAUUGAAAUCCCGCACUCCCCUAUUUUCCAAUCGAGAUUUUGAUUUGGGGAUUUUUUGUGUGGAAGCACUAGAGGACUUCCAUAUGAGGCUGGAAGCACUGGAGACUGACCGAGAAUCAUUGAGGUAGGUCCUUGCGGCUAUGCGCACUGAGAAGGCAUAGCUUGCGCUUCUCUGUGAGAUUGCAUAGCAGCUUGCCAAGGAUCGAGCUCCAGUUGCAUCAGGAGCUGGUGUGGGGGCGAGGUGACACUAGUAGCCUGGAAAAUGCAAGGCAGGGAUAGUAGAAAGGAGGUUCACGGUGGAUAAGAAGGCACACUCAUCAAGACAUUCUCCAGUGUUGCUUUAUUUAAGGACAAUACAGACAGAAAUGAGGCAAUAAAUACAUGAUUCUUUUCUAUCAAAGAGGAGCUUGGAGCAACAUGUUAGGAGCAGAAUUGUUGAAAGAGCUAAAAAAAACUUAAGGUCAUAAAAGGAGCUCAUCAAUUAUGCAAGUAUGAAGUUCAGUAAUGUGCAUUUGUGAUAAUAUGCUUGUGAGAUACCUAUUUAGCCCCAUGAAUGACCAUGCUGUUCAGUUUUGCUUAUGAUGUAAUUUUUGCAUUCAACAUAGGGUGGAGGCAAAUUUGUUUGUGUAUAAUUGCCUAUUAUAUACUCUAAUUUUGGCAUAUUAGCUUGAUGUUUUUGUACACGAGGUCAUCUGGAAUUUUUAUUUUACUUUCUGGGUUCAGUC